GUGUUCGCUUUGGCAGCACAUAUACUAAAAUUGGAACGAUACAGAGAAGAUUAGCGUGGCCCCUGCACAAGGAUGACACGCAAAUUCAUGAAGCAUUCCAUAUUU
rnacentral:snRNA from 1 species